rnacentral:rRNA from 1 species
GUAUUAAAGGUGUCGCCUGCCCAGUGAAAUUUUUAACGGCCGCGGUAUUCUAACCGUGCAAAGGUAGCGUAAUCAUUUGUCUUUUAAAUAAAGACCAGUAUGAACGGCUAAAUGAGGUCAAACCUGUCUCCUGUAACCAAUCAGUGAAACUGAUCUUCCAGUACAAAAGCUGAAAUAAUCCCAUAAGACGAGAAGACCCUGUGGAGCUUAAAAUUAACCAUUAAUAGCCAAUAAACACCGCUAUUUAAUGCAAGAUUUUAAGUUGGGGCGACUUCGGAAUAAACAAGAACUUCCGAGCAUAGAACCAACCGUUCAAACACAGGCCCACAAGCCAAAAUAAACGCCGACCCAGUCCAACUGAUCAACGAACCAAGUUACCCCAGGGAUAACAGCGCCAUCUUCUUCUAGAGUCCUUAUCGAAAAGAAGGUUUACGACCUCGAUGUUGGAUCAGGACACCCCAGUGGUGCAGCUGCUAUUAACGGUUCGUUUGGUCAACGAUUAACAGUCCUACGUGAUCUGAGU